rnacentral:rRNA from 1 species
UACAGAGGUCUCAAGCGUUGUUCGGAUUCAUUGGGCGUAAAGGGUGUGUAGGUGGCGCCGUAAGUCGGGUGUGAAAUUUCGGAGCUUAACUCCGAAACUGCAUUCGAUACUGCGGUGCUUGAGGACUGGAGAGGAGACUGGAGUUCAUGGUGUAGCAGUGAAAUGCGUAGAGAUCAUGAGGAAGACCAGUGGCGAAGGCGGGUCUCUGGACAGUUCCUGACACUGAGACACGAAGGCCAGGGGAGCAAACGGG